GAACUUACUGGAAGGGGAGAUACCAUGAUCAUGAAGGUGAUUUUCCUAGGGUGAGGCUUCUCUAUUACAUUCCAGAUGUGCUGACCCCUGCCAGUUCCCCAAAUGUGGGAAACUUGACUGUGUAAUUUGUGGUAGUGGGGACUGCGUUUGCACUCUCAUC